GCGCUUGCUUUCGCAGCACGUAUGCUGAAAUUGAAACAAUCCACAGAAAAUUAACACCGUCCCUGCACAAGGAUCAUACACAACUUCAUGAAGGAUUUCAUAUUUUA
rnacentral:snRNA from 1 species